UACGGGGGGGGCAAGCGUUGUUCGGAAUUACUGGGCGUAAAGCGUGCGUAGGUGGUUCGUUAAGUCUGAUGUGAAGGCCCUGGGCUCAACCUGGGAAUGGCAUUGGAAACUGGCGACCUAGAGUGCGGUAGAGGGUAGUGGAAUUCCCGGUGUAGCAGUGAAAUGCGUAGAGAUCGGGAGGAACAUCUGUGGCGAAGGCGACUGCCUGGACCAGCACUGACACUGAGGCACGAAAGCGUGGGGAGCAAACAGG
rnacentral:rRNA from 1 species